GAUGAACGCUGGCGGCGUGCUUAACACAUGCAAGUCGAACGAAGCACUUAAGAUUGAUUCUUCGGAUGACGUCUUUUGUGACUUAGUGGCGGACGGGUGAGUAACGCGUGGGUAACCUGCCUCACACAGGGGGAUAACAGUUAGAAAUGACUGCUAAUACCGCAUAACCCGAUAGGAUCGCAUGAUCCAGACGGAAAAGAUUUAUCGGUGUGAGAUGGACCCGCGUCUGAUUAGCUAGUUGGUGAGGUAACGGCCCACCAAGGCGACGAUCAGUAGCCGGCAUGAGAGGGUGAACGGCCACAUUGGGACUGAGACACGGCCCAAACUCCUACGGGAGGCAGCAGUGGGGAAUAUUGCACAAUGGGGGAAACCCUGAUGCAGCGACGCCGCGUGAGUGAAGAAGUAUUUCGGUAUGUAAAGCUCUAUCAGCAGGGAAGAAAAUGACGGUACCUGACUAAGAAGCCCCGGCUAACUACGUG
rnacentral:rRNA from 1 species